rnacentral:lncRNA from 1 species
GGACGAAGCUCCCUUGCUCUACUGACCCAGGGGUCAGGUCCUGCCCCAAAAAGGGUGCGUAUUUGGGGUGGUUAGAGCCCCAUGUUCACCCUUCAAGGGGGAACGCAGUCAUAACCUUCCCCCCCAUCCAGGCAGGUCACUGAAGGCUCAAAGGAGGUGAGCCCACUUGGAUGAGAGGGAGCUACUUUUAUCAUUUAGUUAUCUCUAAACAUUCUCACAGAACUCUUCAUAUCAGCUUCACCACAUCUUGGGAGACUUAAAGCAGCCAUAAAAGCAUGACCCCAGCCACUCUGCAGAUCCUCCACAUGGUGAGAUGGCUUGUGUGGCUGCGGUUGCUACAGCAUCUAUUGACUACGGUCAGUGAGAACGCAAAAAGCCAGCCGAAACUCAGGCAACACUGGGACUCAAAGCUGCUCUCCUCCCCAAUGGCCUUGUUCCACUGGAUGACCCCUCCCACAAAACACCGCCAUUUUGUUAAGCGGGCAUUUCCCACACUACUGCAUUUCAGUACGUGCCACCAUCACCAUAACCAGCCUUAAACCUAAAUUUCAGAGAUCAAGAGAAAGGACUGACCAAAAGGAGAAAGGGUCACUGCCCCAUCAGCUAGAAUUUUGCUCCCCAAAGUCUUGAUGCAGUACUUAUUUCGAGAUUAGAAAAACGCAUUGCCUCCACUGCACAAAUAAAGAAAACUGCUUUUGGUUUCUAACAUUCACAUACAGUAGAUAAGCAAAAGUCCUGGAUUACGUGGAAAUAAAACCUGUACGGAGAAACAGGAUUAGGUCUACUUCCAUUUAACUGUUUUUAUGGUAUUUUAAAUGAGCAGCUGUGUUUCUGUAAGUAAACAUGAUACCACUGAACAUCUGUAUAAAAACUAAACAACAUACAGACUCCUUGAACUCUCUGGUAUAUAACUCUGNAAAGAAAAAAAAAAAAAGAAAAAAAAAGAGAGAUUUUAGGAUGUUGGGCUUGAAGGAAAUGGCAAAUAUUGUGAAACUAAGGAUAAAAUAGUUGACAGCUAUCAAUUCCAUUUGAUCACCCGCACAGCCAGUCGAAGGAUGUUUUCAUUAUAUGGAAACAGGCACACUAACCUCUAACACAGACACAUCCCUCCAAAAUCAUCUCCUUGGUAAAGUCAGGAAACUGGAAAUGCUAUAUUUAGUGCCUACCCUCUUCUCCAGGCCCAGACCCCUGCAGUCACCAAACUCUCCAGCAUGAGGGACAAGCUUUGCACAGAAUGCACCAGUGCCACUUGGAAAGGGACGAAGCUCCCUUGCUCUACUGACCCAGGGGUCAGGUCCUGCCCCAAAAAGGGUGCGUAUUUGGGGUGGUUAGAGCCCCAUGUUCACCCUUCAAGGGGGAACGCAGUCAUAACCUUCCCCCCCAUCCAGGCAGGUCACUGAAGGCUCAAAGGAGGUGAGCCCACUUGGAUGAGAGGGAGCUACUUUUAUCAUUUAGUUAUCUCUAAACAUUCUCACAGAACUCUUCAUAUCAGCUUCACCACAUCUUGGGAGACUUAAAGCAGCCAUAAAAGCAUGACCCCAGCCACUCUGCAGAUCCUCCACAUGGUAAGCCCCAUCUCAUUUGAUGGUCAGUCAGUCACCGACCAAGGCCCAGAGUUCCACAAAUCAUCAUCAAGAACAGAAGAGAGACGGGUUGAAAACCUCUGCCUCUGUUGAAAACCGUGGGUUUAUUUUCACAAAAAAAAAAAGAAGCUCAGUGGGCAGCAAGAAGCUCCUCCCGGGCACUGGAAACACCUGGUGAGCCUGGCUCUGUGCAGGCGUNG